UACAGAGGUCUCAAGCGUUGUUCGGAUUCAUUGGGCGUAAAGGGUGCGUAGGUGGCGCUGUAAGUCAGGUGUGAAAUUUCGGAGCUUAACUCCGAAACUGCAUUUGAUACUGCGGUGCUUGAGGACUGGAGAGGAGACUGGAAUUCACGGUGUAGCAGUGAAAUGCGUAGAUAUCGUAAGGAAGACCAGUGGCGAAGGCGGGUCUCUGGACAGUUCCUGACACUGAGGCACGAAGGCCAGGGGAGCAAACGGG
rnacentral:rRNA from 1 species